CGUAAACAACAGCCUAACUGUGGGUCAUCAACUUUGCAGAGCGUUUCCUCAAGGUCUACCUCAGGUAACCAACUUUCAAGCAGACUCUGAAAAAUACAUACAGAAUCUCAAUUCAACAUUUUGUUCCCAGAGCUGUGACAAUGCACCAAAAGGAGAGUUUACUUGCAACACUGGCUAUAGAUGUAUCGGUGCUUUAUGGAACUAUACAUGCCACAAUAUUGACGAAUGUGUUGGUGGAAGUCAUACAUGCCAUAACAAUGCCACGUGUAAUGAUAUGGAUGGUAGCUUCACAUGCCGAUGCAACGUCGGUUACUCUGGAGACGGGGACCAAUGUACAGAUGUUGGCGCAAAUGUUACAAGUGAUUCACCCGGGAUGCCCAGGAGCGGCCCAUUCCUCCUUCCCACCAUUUGUAUCACCAUGGUUACAUUUACCUUGGCAAUUAUGACACUGAUCAUGUGAU